rnacentral:rRNA from 1 species
UGCCAGCCGCCGCGGUAAUACAGAGGGUGCAAGCGUUAAUCGGACUUACUGGGCGUAAAGGGUGCGUAGGUGGCACUUUAAGUCGUGUGUGAAAGGCUCGGGCUCAACCUGGGGACUGCAGACGAAACUAAAGAGCUAGAGUAUGGUAGAGGAAAGUAGAAUUUCCAGUGUAGCGGUGAAAUGCGUAGAGAUUGGAAGGAAUACCAGUGGCGAAGGCGGCUUUCUGGACUGAUACUGACACUGAGGCACGAAAGCGUGGGUAGCGAACAGGAUUAGAUA